rnacentral:piRNA from 1 species
AUUUAAAUAUUUGGUUGUCAGUGGCAUC